rnacentral:lncRNA from 1 species
UUGACAGUUUGGCUUCCCUGUUCUGGGUGGCAAAGCCUGUGGAGUACUCACCUACCUGCUGCAUGAAGGCAGCAUGGAGGGACUGUGGUGGAUUAUCUGCAAAGAUGGCCAAAAUUCUCUCAUCCCUGCAGGCACAUACAAGGUUGUUGCAUGGCAUAAGUAAAAUGACAGCCAAAGGAUACAUGCAACUUUUCAGGGACAAAGAUCUGUGCAGCAUCGACAGUACUGCCUAAUGAGGUUUCACCAUAAUGAAGUAUUACAACCAGUUUACAGACCAGAAAACUGAGACACAGGAAGGGGUGGUGACUUGAGCAAGGUGCAUCAGCUGCCAGGUUUCCAGAAGUUCCCCAGUCAUUGAGCAUUUCUGAGGCUCUUGAUGCAUAUGCCAAGUAGUUAUGGAGAAAGACACAGCAGCUUACCUCUGCAGGCAUCAUUGUGUGAAAGGAAGACCCAGGCUCUCUCACCACCCUUCAACAGAAGCCUUUUGCUAAGGUGAUAGCUACAUGUCCAAGCCUAUUGCGUGGCAUGCAUUUUGCCUUCUGCAGCCCACUAAAGGAAAUUGAGGUAUACGGAAUGCUUAUUUGGUUUACUCAGUAUCAUCCUAAAUGUAUGUACCAAUGCUUAGGAGUUUGCAGUUCACCCGCAAACCUCAGCGAUCCAAGCUCCCCUGGAUGACCAUCACUCACCAAGAAAAGAACAAUAACAGGACCUGUUUUGCUAAUCCAGGACUGUUCUCCAGCACUAACUCUAAA